UCUUUCCCUUCUUCUUAUCCAAUUUAUCAUCACCCACAUACCAUGUAUGUAGAGACAUCCAUGGCAAACAUAACCAAAAAGAUUCCAACAGAAAGAAUUUUCUCUCUGACCUCCUCAUAUAUUUGGGCUCUUUUCAUGCACCUUCCUCCUAUAAAAGAACACAGACAGACAAUGGGAGGGCUGGAAAAAACAAAGCAAAGAAACGUGACCUCCAUUUUCUUCCCUCUUUGCUCAUCUUUCUUACCUCAUCUCUACCUAAAAAUCACCAUGAAAGCUCAGCCAUAAAGCUACUAAACCACCUGAAAAUACACACCUACAGAGAUAGAGAAGAUAGAAGAAAGAGAUGGGGAAAAUAGAGUGACGAGAGAAGCACAAAAAAAUGAGGGGAUCGAAAAAAAAACGAAAAGAGAGCAAAAAUAAAAAACAGAUCUGGACAGAGAACAAAAAGAGAAAGGAAGGUGGAGGAAGAGGGAUCUGGGUCGUCUUCUUCCUCAUCAUCAAUCACUAAUCUUUCUUUCAUUUAAACCAUGUAAAAAAGCUUCUUAAAACUCCAUGAAAAGCUAUGGAAAAGCUGCUCAAAAAGCUCCAAAAAGAGAGCUGAAAUCUGCCCGAAAAUUCAGCCAUGAACCUCUGUUUUCACUACCAAAUCAGCAGUCUCAACACCAUCCAAAUUUACCUAUGUUUUCCUCCCCUCAAAACAGCCAUGAAGGUUGCCCAUUUUCGCACCUCUUAACCACCAAAACAUUCCCCCCCAAAACCUCCAAAACUCAGCACCUCUAACUAGCAAAAACACCUCCAAAACACCAUUAAAACACCAUCUUCAAUCGAGUUUUGAGGUCGCCAUCGAGGUUUAUUUUAGAGGCUCCGUUUUCAAGUUUCUUUGGCCGUUAAAUUUCAACCGUGUUCGACAUCAAAAUAUUUAGCAUAAAGGGGCUUUUAUAGAACCAGGGAAACCGUACACACUACAGUUGCAUAAUAAUAAAAAGCGUGUUCGGAUUUCACAGGCGACACUAGGGGAGCGUAGCGGAUUGUGGAAAUCAAGAUCUAUAGUUCAAUGUGCUAUUGGCAGUCGUUUUCUCAGUUGUCGGUCCACGUGGUGUCCACCUUGCCGGUUAUUACCUCCCUUCCAAGGGAACCAGCAGUAAAAGUAGUGGAACUCAUGACCUUGGAGUGUAUCCUUCGUUCUCAAGAGAAGAUUUCGGUUGCAUACCUUGGCAGCAUUAGCAUAGCAUAAGAAAAUGAAGUGAACUUUUGCAAAGUUGUACUUUUUUUUUUGGUAACGUGAGUUAUAUUUGUCCCUAUGUUUCACUACACUAUCUGAAAGAGAAAAUUCAAAAAUUUUCCUUCCAUUUUUAGCUUUUAAUUCUGUUUAUUUUCAUGCUUAAUCACAUUCUGUCAUUUUUCCUUUACUAUUUCAUUUUGAUCAAGUGACUUGUAUGGAGAAGAUAUUAACAAUGCAGUAUGUGAGAGAAAUACAGAGUUGACAGCUAGCAAACCAGCGUUGCUGGAAAUCCAAACCUACCGUUGCUGAUAAUAAUAGGCGCCAAUGGAUCAACAGCUUCGAUGAUGAUGCAGAUGAUUUUUUCUAGGAAAAAUAGAGCUUUUGGUUCCAGUUGAGGGGAGAGGUACAUGCUUUAAUAAUAUGAUAACUGAUUGCGGACUCAAACAAGAUACACCAAAGGCUAUGAACAAGGGCAACUGUCCACUGGCUAUAAUUCCAUCUCAGAAAUCAAUCACUGGAAAAGAUUCAAACAGAAGUCCCCAACAAGUAACUGAAAUGUGUCAUUCUCAGGACAGAAAGAAAGAAAGAAAAGAAAAGGAAGAUUGAAGACCAAGAAAAUCGUUGUGACUCAAAUGUUUGUCAUUCAGUUGGAUAUGGAAAAUCGAAGCUCACUUGCAACUCUUAAGGAAGAGUGCCAUGUCAUCAGAUACUUACAUUAUCAGAUGGAAUGAUGUUGCCAAGGUUUGCUUUGCACAAUAAUCUUUGUGUUACACUACUCCUUUUGUCCUAAUUUAAAAUACUUGUAUACAUUGUAGCUAUUAUAGAAUUUCAUAAUGUAAUAGCCUGGCUGUUAAAAAUGGCUGCUUUAUGUAGGCCUGAUGACAUGGUUGCUAUAAGCUUUAUUGGUUUCUGUUGUAGACUUGGACUAAACAAAUAAAUAAACGAGUUCUAUCUUUAGAUUA